rnacentral:piRNA from 1 species
UGUGCAGCUCAAGGAAGCAAAUAUGGCCA